AUACACUCCUCCCUCUUCAAGCCCUUUCUUAUAUAGGGUCUUGAAGAGCCAAAAUCAACAUCUGAUUAUUCUUUCUGUUUUCUAACAAAACAGAAUUUGUCAAUAAAUGGGUAAAGUCUUCAAUUUAGCUGAGGUCUCCCAGCACAACAAUGCCAAGGAUUGUUGGCUCAUUAUUAGUGGCAAGGUGUAUGAUGUGACAAAAUUCUUGGAGGAUCACCCAGGUGGUGAUGAUGUUUUGUUGUCUGCAACAGGUAAAUAUAGUUAGACGUAUUCUUCUCGCAGAAGAACAUCAUUGCAUGUUGUAUUCAAUUUUUUGUAAUCUUACAUACAUAUGCACCAAUAUAUGUUUGUAUGUCAAAGUUCACUCGAACAUCCAG
rnacentral:misc_RNA from 1 species